rnacentral:lncRNA from 1 species
AUUCAUGGCCAGAGGUCACAAGGUCACCAAGCGGCUUAGGUCUUUCCCCACCUCCCUUCUCUGACAGCUCCAGGCCAUUUUUUGAGUUUGGGUGGGGUAAAAUGUUUAUGGGAAACAAGGCGGCCAGGAUCCAACCAAGGCCUCAGUGAGGUCCCACGUGUCCCCCGUGGCGAGAUUUCGCCCUCCCGCCGUUGAGGAGGAAGAGUGUGAGAACAGACUUCCUAGGCACAGAAUGGAGGGGCAGAGUCCUGCAUUGAGGACUCCCUGCACUUGGGGUCCGGGGCUCACCGGGCGCCGUUCCCCAGCCGCUUCUUACGCAGCCGGGAAACCACAACGAGAUUUGGUCUUCGAGAGCAUUUAGGCGGGGACCACAACGAAUCCGGGAGUUGGCCAGAAGGAUCCAUCGAGAGGCGAAGAGUGGGGGCUGGGGGAGGAGGCACCUGCGGAGGAAGCCGGUGAGGCGGAGGCAGCCCAAAGGCGGAGGCCGCCCAAAGGCGGAGGCCAGCAAGGAUGGAGGCGCGCUCCGGAGUGGGCCCAGGCGGCGUGAUCCGCGUCCCUGCGCACCGCCCGCUGCCUGUGCCGCCGCCCGCUGGGGGGGCGCCUGCAGUGCCUGGGCCCUCGGGUUUGGGCGGCGCCGGAGGCCUAGCGGGACUCACCUUCCCCUGGAUGGACAGCGGCCGCCGCUUUGCCAAGGACCGGCUCACGGCUGCGCUCUCGCCCUUCUCUGGGACGCGC